rnacentral:rRNA from 1 species
UUAUGGCUCAGGAUGAACGCUAGCUACAGGCUUAACACAUGCAAGUCGAGGGGCAGCAUUGGGAUAGCUUGCUAUUCCAGAUGGCGACCGGCGCACGGGUGAGUAACGCGUAUCCAACCUUCCCCAUAGUAGGGCACAGCCCGGCGAAAGUCGGAUUAAUUCCCUAUGCAGUCCAGAGAGGACAUCUGACCUGGACGAAAGAUUCAUCGCUAUGGGAUGGGGAUGCGUCUGAUUAGGUUGCAGGCGGGGUAACGGCCCACCUGGCCGACGAUCAGUAGGGGUUCUGAGAGGAAGGUCCCCCACAUUGGAACUGAGACACGGUCCAAACUCCUACGGGAGGCAGCAGUGAGGAAUAUUGGUCAAUGGACGGAAGUCUGAACCAGCCAAGUAGCGUGCAAGGAAGACGGCCCUAUGGGUUGUAAACUGCUUUUAUCAGGGGAUAAAGUGAGGUAUGUAUACCUUUUUGCAUGUACCUGAUGAAUAAGGACCGGCUAAUUCCGUGCCAGCAGCAGC